rnacentral:rRNA from 1 species
GUGCCAGCAGCCGCGGUAAUACCGGCAGCCCAAGUGAUGGCCGAUCUUAUUGGGCCUAAAGCGUCCGUAGCUGGCUGCGCAAGUCCGUCGGGAAAUCCACUCGCCCAACGAGUGGGCGUCCGACGGAAACUGCACAGCUUGGGACCGGAAGGCGCGACGGGUACGUCCGGGGUAGGAGUGAAAUCCCGUAAUCCCGCACGGACCACCGAUGGCGAAGGCACUUCGAGAAAACGGAUCCGACAGUGAGGGACGAAAGCCAGGGUCUCCAACCGGAUUAGAAACCCGUGUAGUCC